rnacentral:rRNA from 1 species
AUUACGCGAAGACCUUACCAGGGCUUGACACCCUGCGAACCUCUGGGAAACCGGAGGGUGCCUUCGGGAACGCAGAGACAGGUGGUGCAUGGCUGUCGUCAGCUCGUGUCGUGAGAUGUUGGGUUAAGUCCCGCAACGAGCGCAACCCACGUCUUUAGUUGCCAGCAUUCAGUUGGGCACUCUAGAGAGACCGCCGGUGACAAACCGGAGGAAGGUGUGGAUGACGUCAAGUCAUCAUGCCCCUUACGUCCUGGGCUACACACGUACUACAAUGCUACGGACAAAGAGCAGCGAGCUCGCGAGAGUCAGCAAAUCUCAUAAACCGUGGCUCAGUUCAGAUCGUAGGCUGCAACUCGCCUACGUGAAGGAGGAAUCGCUAGUAAUCGCAGGUCAGCAUACUGCGGUGAAUACGUUCCCGGGUCUUGUACACACCG